rnacentral:rRNA from 1 species
UACGUAGGGUGCAAGCGUUAAUCGGAAUUACUGGGCGUAAAGCGUGCGCAGGCGGUUGUACAAGACCGAUGUGAAAUCCCCGGGCUUAACCUGGGAAUGGCAUUGGUGACUGCACGGCUAGAGUGUGUCAGAGGGGGGUAGAAUUCCACGUGUAGCAGUGAAAUGCGUAGAGAUGUGGAGGAAUACCGAUGGCGAAGGCAGCCCCCUGGGAUAACACUGACGCUCAUGCACGAAAGCGUGGGGAGCAAACAGG